rnacentral:lncRNA from 1 species
GCAACACUGGACUGGGAAGGUGCCGUGGCUUCCCUUGGGCACUACCAGGCUUCUGAGUUACUGCUUCCUGGAGUUACCCAUGCACCAGGUGUGUGUUAGACACCAGGCCAUCCACCCAGUGACACCUUGCAGGGGCACAGACCACACGCCACAGCUCUGCUAAGCCAGGUUUGGUCCUAUUGCUGAGGAGUCCAGAGUGGAAAUCACAGAAAGGAAGAUGGAGCCUCUGGGCUGCCCCUGAGCACAGCUUAGCCAUCCCCACCCCACAACCCACCUCUCUGUCUCUGGCCAGGGCUCCACACAAGAAGGCCCGGAGAGACCUGGUGAAGAAGAGCCGGGAGUGGGUCCUAGAGAAGAAGGAGAGGCGCAGGCGCCAGGGCAAGGAGGUCAGACCUGACACGCAGUACACCGGCCGCAAGCGCAAGCCCCGCUUCUGAGGGAGCCACAUCUGAUCAGCCGGAGAGCCUGGCCACCCACACACAUCCAGUCUGCAGAUGCAGACGGUCCUGCCACCCACUCUGCUCAGAGUGGGCGCUAUCCAACCCAGGACCUGCCUCAGGAAUUUUCUGGAUUGAACUGUUUACCUCAGCAGCUAGCAACAUAGUAUUUUAGAAGAGUUGGGACGCUCUCAAAAUAUUUCUUCACUAAGAGUUGCAGGGAUCUGGGUUUGGCAGCUCACAUCCUAUAAUCGCAACACCCUCCCGGGAGUCUGAGACAAGAAGUUGGAAAGUUCCAGGCCUGUCUGGGCUACACAGCAAAAACCUGUCUUAAAAACCAAAAGGAAAAACAUUUCUAAGAAUGUUUUAUUUUGUCCUAAAUGCAUUAAAUUACUUUCUAAGUAA